rnacentral:rRNA from 1 species
GAGAGAGUAAACAGUGCGUGAAACCGCUCAGAGGUAAACGGGUGGAGUUGAACUGUAAGCUCCGGGAAUUCAGCUGGUGAGUGUGUCAUGGGCUUGGUCAUUUUCGGCCGGCCUCUGGAGUCCGCUUAGCUGCGGGUCCUUGCUUCUUCGGGAGUAGGGAUGUGCGUUGCGCUUGUCAAGUGCUGUGCGCUCUGGAGGUUGCCGGGCUGGCUCGCCAGUGCACUUUCUCGGAGUGGUCACCACGACCGACGUUGUUGUCUUGCUGCUGUGGUCGAACCGGCUGGGUUUGGUCCUUGUGGCUGAACUUGGUUGGGAUGGCAGGUAGCUCAUUGAUUGGCUUGUCCAGUCUCUGGGUGUAAUCAGCUGGCUGCAGUAGUAUUGUGCAAUGCGUCGGAGACGGCGGCUUUAGAUAUUUGCUUUCGUGCCGUUGAUCGGCAGUGUUGAGUUUGAUUGGCGUGUUACCUGCUUCGGUGGGUCCGUCGAUAGCUCAGUGCUGUUCGGUUAGCGGUUGCUUGAGUGAUAUCGUACAUGGGCCUAUAGUCUGUGGUGUAGCAGCAAACGA